rnacentral:rRNA from 1 species
AAGAGAGAGUUAAAGAGGACGUGAAACCGAUGAGGUGGAAACGGAUAGAGCCGGCGAAUCUGACUUGUAUUCAGCUUUCGGUGAGUGUCCGCUGGUUUGCUCAAUCCUGCUUCUGGUUGGCCGGGCUAGUGUGAGGCAUUUUCCGUUGGUGCAUUUGCGAGUGGAGUGCGUUGAGAUUCACGGUCGUAGCGAUUCGACGUUUGCAUUGAGGCCACCUUUAUUGUGUGGAACCUGUGCUUUCUUAGGAUUGUUUACACUGUGCUAAAUACGACUAUGGCCUACGUGAUAUGUGGUUGAUUCUGUGGUGUUUUGAGGCGGUCGCAUGCGACACGUGCUUAGCACUGCUUGUUCAAUUACCGUUCACACUUAGUCAUUCUCGAUGUAAAAGCUGGUCAUCUAUCCGACCCGUCUUGAAACACGGACCAAGGAGUUUAGCGUGUGCGCRAGUCAUUGGGCGAAAAACCCAUAGGCGUAAUGAAAGUAAAGGGCACUUGUUGUCUGAUAUGCGAUCUUGUGUAUUUCGAUACAUGGGAGCAGCAUAGCCCCGUCCCGAUUGCUUGCAAUGGGGCGGAGGUAGAGCGUAUUCGCUGAGACCCGAAAGAUGGUGAACUAUUCCUGAGCAGGAUGAAGCCAGAGGAAACUCUGGUGGAAGUCCGAAGCGGUUCUGACGUGCAAAUCGAUCG